UGUGGAAAGGGUGCAGCCAACUGUAGGUGUUCUCUCAGCAGAAAGGAUCUGGCAGGCGGUAGAUCCUGAGAUAACGGCUGGACGCAGUGUUUGUGAGGCAAUCCUAUUCAUAUCAACUGGGACGCAGACGUGAAUGGACGCCGCUCUCAGGCGCUGACAGUUCAUCACCCACAGAACUACAGCUAAAUCGAAUCCUUGUCGGUGUCUCGCUCACCUCACCAUUAGAAAAAGAUAUAAUGGAGGCCGUUUAUUUCACCAGACCGGAAGGUUUUAGAAUGGCGACCUAUCAGCUUGUCCGGAGCCUUUGUCAGAUGGCGACUUCUUUUAUUGCCAUUCUGUUCGCCUGCAGCAAACUAUUUCUGUUACUCACCAGCAUGCUCGUGACAGGGCAUGAGAUGUGCAGGUCGCUCAUCAAUAUCACCUUGGCGGCGUUGAGCGGAUUAUGGCUCCUCAUUUUAGGUGUCAUAUUCAUAUCGAGGAUCUUAAGAUAUGUCAUAGGGCACUUCUUUUAAAAACUGGAUGCGCAGAAAUAAAAAUAUAAAUUCUUUGGCAGAU